UCAGCCGUCAGCUCUAGCAAUGAGGCCCUGACAGUCUUCUCCUUCCGGUCUUUUCAACUUCAACCGCGAGAGCGAGACACAGCUAUCUACUGCGAGAGCGCUGGAGAGGAGAAAAUUUCCGUGUACAAAUAAGAAAAAGGAAAAAAAACACCGAAUCGCCUUAUCAGCCGUGAGUCUGGAGCAGAGCGACGAGGCGAAUCACGUCGGUUAGCUUGUUACUGCAUCUUGUGAGCUGCGGAAAGCGCCAAAAUCAACACGCUCAGCUUUGAAACCGGAGCAACGGUCAGGUUUUUGGAGUGGACUACAAAUCCUGUGGACUGGACGAGAUCCCGAUGGCGAGCCAAAGGACCUUGGAAGAGAGAUAAACAUUAGAACACUCCCACAUACAUUCACGUCGAACUAUCAGACU